AUAAGGGGUGCCCGGAUCCGAAUACGGAUUUCGAGCUGAGAUCAUACCCAUUGAACCUGUACGGGUAAUGCCGUCGUAGGAAACAGAUG
rnacentral:ncRNA from 1 species